UACGAAGGGGGCUAGCGUUGCUCGGAAUCACUGGGCGUAAAGGGUGCGUAGGCGGGUCUUUAAGUCAGAGGUGAAAUCCUGGAGCUCAACUCCAGAACUGCCUUUGAUACUGAGGAUCUUGAGUUCGGGAGAGGUGAGUGGAAUUCCGAGUGUAGAGGUGAAAUUCGUAGAUAUUCGCAAGAACACCAGUGGCGAAGACGGCCAACUGGACCCAACACUGACGCUGAGGCGCGAAAGCGUGGGGAGCAAACAGG
rnacentral:rRNA from 1 species